UGCCAGACUCCUACGGGAGGCAGCAGUGGGGAAUAUUGGGCAAUGGACGCAAGUCUGACCCAGCAACGCCGCGUGAAGGAAGAAGGCUUUCGGGUUGUAAACUUCUUUUAAGGGGGAAGAGCAGAAGACGGUAUCCCUUGAAUAAGCCACGGCUAACUACGUGCCAGCAGCCGCGGUAAUACGUAGGGGGCAAGCGUUAUCCGGAUUUACUGGGUGUAAAGGGAGCGUAGACGGUCCUGCAAGCCAGAUGUGAAAGCCCGGGGCUCAACCCCGGGACUGCAUUUGGAACUGUAAGGCUAGAGUGUCGGAGAGGCAGGCGGAAUUCCUAGUGUAGCGGUGAAAUGCGUAGAUAUCAGGAGGAACACCGGUGGCGAAGGCGGCCUGCUGGACUGCAACUGACGUUGAGGCCCGAAAGCGUGGGGAGCAAACAGGAUUAGAUACCCGCGUA
rnacentral:rRNA from 1 species